rnacentral:rRNA from 1 species
AACGAACGCUGGCGUCAGGCUUAGCACAUGCAAGCCGAGCGCCCCGCAAGGGGAGCGGCAGACGGGUGAGUAACGCGUGGGAAUCUACCCAUCUUUACGGAAUAACGCAUGGAAACGUGUGCUAAUACCGUAUACGUCCUUCGGGAGAAAGAUUUAUCGGAGAUGGAUGAGCCCGCGUUGGAUUAGCGAGUUGGUGGGGUAAAGGCCUACCAAGGCGACGAUCCAUAGCUGGUCUGAGAGGAUGAUCAGCUACACUGGGACUGAGACACGGCCCAGACUCCUACGGGAGGCAGCAGUGGGAAAUAUUGGACAAUGGGCGCAAGCCUGAUCCAGCCAUGCCGCGUGAGUGAUGAAGGCCCUAGGGUUGUAAAGCUCUUUCACCGGUGAAGAUAAUGACGGUAACCGGAGAAGAAGCCCCGGCUAACUUCGUGCCAGCCGCCGCGGUAAGAC